rnacentral:rRNA from 1 species
ACUCCUACGGGAGGCAGCAGUGGGAAUAUUGCACAAUGGGGAAGCCAUCGAUGCAGCCAUGCCGCGUGUGUGAAGAAGGCCUUCGGGUUGUAAAGACACUUUCAGUUGUGAGGAAAGGUUAGUCGCUAAUAUCGGCUAGCUGUGACGUUAGCAACAGAAGAAGCACCGGCUAACUCCGUGCCAGCAGCCGCGGUAAUACGGAGGGUGCGAGCGUUAAUCGGAAUUACUGGGCGUAAAGCGCGUGUAGGUGGCUUGUUAAGCCAGAUGUGAAAGCCCG